rnacentral:rRNA from 1 species
AUUGAACGCUGGCGGCAGGCCUAACACAUGCAAGUCGAGCGGGGUUUUCGGACCUAGCGGCGGACGGGUGAGUAAUGCGUAGGAAGCUACCCGAUAGAGGGGGAUACCAGUUGGAAACGACUGUUAAUACCGCAUAAUGUCUACGGACCAAAGUGUGGGACCUUCGGGCCACAUGCUAUCGGAUGCGCCUACGUGGGAUUAGCUAGUUGGUGGGGUAAUGGCUCACCAAGGCGACGAUCCCUAGUUGGUUUGAGAGGAUGAUCAGCCACACUGAGACUGAGACACGGGCCAGACUCCUACGGGAGGCAGCAGUGGGGAAUGUUGGACAAUGGGCGCAAGCCUGAUCCAGCCAUGCCGCGUGUGGGAAGAAGGCCUUAGGGUUGUAAAGCACUUUCAGUAGGGAGGAAGGGUGUUGUGUUAAUAGCACGGCAUUUUGACGUUACCUACAGAAGAAGCACCGGCUAACUCUGUGCCAGCCGCCGCCGUAAAAC